CAUAAUCUAUUAAAUUGUCACAAUCAAUUAUCAGUUUUGUAAAUAUCCUUUACUGACCCUCGUUGUUUCGCUACGUUUUCUGUCUCCAUAUGAGUGAAAAAUUCUCGAGAGACGUUAAGCAAGAUACAAUCUAUGAAUUCAUCCUGUGUGGAGCUCCAAUUUUCCUAGUUUCUUGCAACGGUCAGCAUAAUAGACUCUACCUGGGUUAUUCUACCCGCUUUCAAAGGCCUAUAUAAACCCCCGAGUUCUUUCACUAUAGAACCGCACGAUUUUCCAGACAAAAUCUGAGCUACGCAGCAUUAUUAACACGUUCUUGACUAAAUGUUAUGCUAAUAGCAUCUCCAGACGGGGUUUCCGGAGUAGGCUUUUCAAUAAUGCCAGGACGAGGUUCCCGACAUUAACCUGUGCCAGUAGUGGACAGGUACAGACGAGGCUCUGGAUAUCACCUACUUCCCAGUCAGACCUGAGGAUAGGGAUCCGGAGGAUUCUCAGAGCGGAAAGGGUUCCCGUAUGUCAUAAUGGAGGAACCUCCAAGUCGACUUAGCAGCAUGUGGUACACGUGGAACGGUCGUCAUACCAUUCAGUCUUGGAAGAGAAUUCAUGUGAAGUGGGAAACGGAUACAGACGAGCAACAGAAACAAAGCAGGGCCAUAUUCAAAGGAUAUAGACACUUAAUUAUCUAUACUUAGCGUAUUAUAUUGAUGGUUUUAUUGUAAAUAUCUGUACACACACACAUAUAUAUAUAAAAAUAUAUAUAAACAAAAUUAAGGUAGAGUUUUUAUAUUCCCUACAUAGGUUCUUUAUGGUAAGACAUUUUUAUUUCGUGAAGCUUGAUCUUGUGACCUUGACUUUAGAUUUAAACCCACUUUUAAAAUCUCUGACCUAGUCAAUAUCUUCUGUAGCAAGACCUUAACAUAUUUUGCUGUUUGAUCUUGUGACCUUGACAUGGAAGUUUGAUCUACUUUUAAUAAAAAUCUUACCUAUUUUGAAAUAUCUCUUCAGCUAUUGAAGAUAUAUCUAGAGCUUUCAAAUUCUGUAAGUAGAUUUCUUAUGGCAAAGUCUUCAAAUCAUAGCAUGAUAAAUAACCUUGUGACCUUUGAUUUAUCCAGAACAGCAAGGUCAUAUCUGUAUACUGCAUUUUCUGUGCAACCGCCGCGGUGGUCUAGAGGUAAAACGCUCGCCCCGCAUGCGGAAGGUCGGGGUUUGAAUCCCGGCUGCGACAGACCUAAGUUGUUAAAACAGGUAGUGACAGUUCCAUCACCAAACGCUCCGCAUCGGGUGUAAAUGUCACGGGUCUUCGGAGAUGACCUUAAAACGGAUGUCCCGUGUCACAGUAGGUGUGGUACCUAAAGAACUCUCACCAUGCUUAAUGGCUGUAAGCGCCGAACAUAGGACUAAAUUUGAAGCCUUCACCGGAAUUGGUGACCUCUCCAUGAGUGAAAAAUAUAAAGGCUAAACAAGAUGCAAUCAAUCAUUCAGUUAUGUUGUGAUCCCAUGGGGGUCAAAAUGUUUCAUGAGAAUAAAGAUUGAUUAAUCACAACAGCUGAAGAAUGGCAGAACGAAGGUGACUCAAGUGAGCGAUGUGGCCCAUGAUUCUCGUUUCUAGAUUACUUUCUUCUAAAGUUGCAUUUUUUCACUAUAUUAUAACUUGAAGGUAAAUUGGAAACUUUUCAAUUUCAAAAUACUAUUGCACAAAUCCUCCACUAUCCUUCCAUAUCCGAUUUCUU